GCUGGCUUUAGCCCCAGGUCUGCCUGGCUCCAAGGCCUGCAGUAGUGGCCUGUGAGCUGCAUUCCUGGCUGUUGUCAUGGUGAUGCAGAUGGGCUACCCUGUAUGCGGGACCCGUGCACAGGAACAGAGCUGCCUCCCAUGUGGCGCGUGUUUACCGGGGCGUGACCAAGAUGAGGAAGAUGGAUACUCGCUCCACCCACCACACAACCCUGCAGGCAGGAGAGCAGAAACUCCUUCCACUGAGGGCUCUGUGGAGUGGUGUGGCCCACUGGUGAAGCUCGGGAGGCAACCUGCUUGUGUUUAGUCCUGGUCCUCCCUCAUCAGAGGUACGACCCUGGUAAAGACCAGCCCUCCGGCAUCUCAGCGAUGCUGGCAUCAGAGGUUGCUGGGGUUGUUUGGAGGCUGUGUGAGUGAAUGCACGCAAGCCCGCAGCCCUGAGCCUCAGUCGUGGGCAGCGCGCAGUUCAUGGGGAGCAUGAGGAUGAGGGAAUCCCUGCCCUAACCCUCAGUAUGGGCACA
rnacentral:lncRNA from 1 species